UACGUAGGUGGCAAGCGUUGUUCGGAAUUAUUGGGCGUAAAGAGCUCGUAGGCGGUUUGUCGCGUCUGCCGUGAAAGUCCGGGGCUCAACUCCGGAUCUGCGGUGGGUACGGGCAGACUAGAGUGAUGUAGGGGAGACUGGAAUUCCUGGUGUAGUGGUGAAAUGCGUAGAUAUCGGGAGGAACACCAGUGGCGAAGGCGACUACCUGGCCUGUUCUUGACGCUGAGGCGCGAAAGCUAGGGGAGCAAACGGG
rnacentral:rRNA from 1 species